rnacentral:piRNA from 1 species
UUUUUUUAACCCUUGAACUUGAAGAAAGA